UACGUAGGGUGCAAGCGUUAAUCGGAAUUACUGGGCGUAAAGCGUGCGCAGGCAGUUUUGUAAGUCUGUUGUGAAAUCCCCGGGCUUAACCUGGGAAUGGCAAUGGAGACUGCAAGGCUAGAGUUUGGCAGAGGGGGGUAGAAUUCCACGUGUAGCAGUGAAAUGCGUAGAGAUGUGGAGGAACACCGAUGGCGAAGGCAGCCCCCUGGGUCAAGACUGACGCUCAUGCACGAAAGCGUGGGGAGCAAACAGG
rnacentral:rRNA from 1 species